UACAGAGGUCCCAAGCGUUGUUCGGAUUCAUUGGGCGUAAAGGGUGCGUAGGCGGUGAAGUAAGUCUGGUGUGAAAUCCCGGGGCUCAACCCCGGAACUGCACUGGAUACUGCUUUACUAGAGUACUGGAGAGGGAACUGGAAUUUACGGUGUAGCAGUGAAAUGCGUAGAUAUCGUAAGGAAGACCAGUGGCGAAGGCGAAUCUCUGGACAGUUACUGACACUGAGGCACGAAGGCCAGGGGAGCAAACGGG
rnacentral:rRNA from 1 species